UCCGGCUUUCACCGGCUGUCUCGCUAGAGUGCCCACCCAAAGUGCUGGCAACUAGCGAUAAGGGUUGCGCUCGUUGCGGGACUGAACCCAACAUCUCACGACACGAGCUGACGACAACCAUGCACCACCUGUCACCGCUGCCCCGAAGGGAAGGUGCAUCUCUGCACCGGUCAGCGGGAUGUCAAGCCCUGGUAAGGUUCUUCGCGUUGCUUCGAAUUAAACCACAUGCUCCACCGCUUGUGCGGGCCCCCGUCAAUUCCUUUGAGUUUCAGCCUUGCGGCCGUACUCCCCAGGCGGAGUGCUUAUUGGGUUACCUUCGGCACAGAGGGCAUGACGCCCCCAACACCUAGCACUCAUCGUUUACGGCGUGGACUAC
rnacentral:misc_RNA from 1 species